rnacentral:rRNA from 1 species
CAUCGCCUCUUGACUAAACAUAAGAGGUCCAGCCUGCCCAGUGACAUAGUUUAACGGCCGCGGUACCCUAACCGUGCAAAGGUAGCAUAAUCACUUGUUCUUUAAAUGAGGACUCGUAUCAACGGCAUCACGAGGACUGUACUGUCUCCUCCCUCCAAUCAGUGAAACUGAUCCCCCCGUGAAGAAGCGGGGAUUAACCUAUAAGACGAGAAGACCCCAUGGAGCUUUAAACCCAACACACACCUCUACGCACUCAAAUCAACGUAGCCCAAGAGACUUGCGUGUUGGUUUUAGGUUGGGGGGACCGCGGAGUAAAAUUAAACCUCCACGACAGACGGACUAACACCCUUAUCCGCGAACUACAAUUCUAAGAGCCAAUAAAUUGUUGUCUAAUGACCCAAUUACUUGAUCAACGAACCAAGUUACCCUGGGGAUAACAGCGCAAUCUACUUCAAGAGCCCCUAUCGACAAGUGGGUUUACGACCUCGAUGUUGGAUCAGGGUAUCCUGGUGGUGCAGCCGCUACUAACGG